AUUGAACGCUGGCGGCAUGCUUUACACAUGCCAGUCGAACGGUAACAGGCCGCAAGGUGCUGACGAGUGGCGAACGGGUGAGUAAUGCAUCGGAACGUGCCCAGUCGUUGGGGAUAACUACUCGAAAGAGUAGCUAAUACCGCAUACGAUCUAUGGAUGAAAGCGGGGGACCGUAAGGCCUCGCGCGAUUGGAGCGGCCGAUGUCAGAUUAGGUAGUUGGUGGGGUAAAGGCUCACCAAGCCAACGAUCUGUAGCUGGUCUGAGAGGACGACCAGCCACACUGGGACUGAGACACGGCCCAGACUCCUACGGGAGGCAGCAGUGGGGAAUUUUGGACAAUGGGCGCAAGCCUGAUCCAGCAAUGCCGCGUGCAGGAAGAAGGCCUUCGGGUUGUAAACUGCUUUUGUACGGAACGAAACGGCUCUGGUUAAUACCCGGGGCUAAUGACGGUACCGUAAGAAUAAGCACCGGCUAACUACGUG
rnacentral:rRNA from 1 species